AUACUUUACCUGGCAGGGGAGAUACCAUGAUCACGAAGGUGGUUUUCCCAGGGCGAGGCUUAUCCAUUGCACUCCGGAUGUGCUGACCCCUGCGAUUUCCCCAAAUGUGGGAAACUCGACUGCAUAAUUUGUGGUAGUGGGGGACUGCGUUCGCGCUUUCCCCUG
rnacentral:snRNA from 1 species